CGGUGUUUAACUGGCGUGAUGUGGGACGUCCUACCGGUGGGCUUAGCCUCGCGAGGGGCGGCCCAACUAAUAUCCCGUCGCGGUGCUCUUUACUGAGUGUCGAGUCGGGCCGGUACGUUUACUUUGAACAAAUUAGAGUGCUUAAAGCAGGCUAUCCUCGCCUGAAUACUGCGUGCAUGGAAUAAUGGAAUAGGACCUCGGUUCUAUUUUGUUGGUUUUCGGAACCCCGAGGUAAUGAUUAAUAGGGACAGAUGGGGGCAUUCGUAUUGCGACGUUAGAGGUGAAAUUCUUGGAUCGUCGCAAGACGGACAGAAGCGAAAGCAUUUGCCAAAAAUGUUUUCAUUAAUCAAGAACGAAAGUUAGAGGUUCGAAGGCGAUCAGAUACCGCCCUAGUUCUAACCAUAAACGAUGCCAGCCAGCGAUCCGCCGAAGUUCCUCCGAUGACUCGGCGGGCAGCUUCCGGGAAACCAAAGCUUUUGGGUUCCGGGGGAAGUAUGGUUGCAAAGCUGAAACUUAAAGGAAUUGACGGAAGGGCACCACCAGGAGUGGAGCCUGCGGCUUAAUUUGACUCAACACGGGAAACCUCACCAGGCCCAGACACCGGAAGGAUUGACAGAUUGAUAGCUCUUUCUUGAUUCGGUGGGUGGUGGUGCAUGGCCGUUCUUAGUUGGUGGAGCGAUUUGUCUGGUUAAUUCCGAUAACGAACGAGACUCUAGCCUGCUAAAUAGGCGUACCUUAUGGUAUCGCGAAGGCCCCCGGCUUCGGCCGGUGGGUUUUUACUACCAACGUACAAACAAAUCUUCUUAGAGGGACAGGCGG
rnacentral:rRNA from 1 species